CGAAAGCCUGACGGAGCAAUGCCGCGUGGAGGAAGAAGGCCUAUGGGUUGUAAUCUCCUUUUCUCAGAGAAGAAGUUCUGACGGUAUCUGAGGAAUAAGCAUCGGCUAACUCCGUGCCAGCAGCCGCGGUAAUACGGAGGAGGCAAGCGUUAUCCGGAAUUAUUGGGCGUAAAGCGUCCGCAGGUGGCGAUUCAAGUCUGCUGUCAAAGCACGGGGCUUAACUCCGUAAAGGCAGUGGAAACUGAAUAGCUAGAGUGCCGUAGGGGUAGAGGGAAUUCCCGGUGUAGCGGUGAAAUGCGUAGAGAUCGGGAAGAACAUCGGUGGCGAAAGCGCUCUACUGGACGGCAACUGACACUCAGGGACGAAAGCUAGGGGAGCG
rnacentral:rRNA from 1 species